rnacentral:lncRNA from 1 species
GAGAAAAGUGCCAUUGUUUUGCAGUUUUUAAUGUAAUUUUUUAUUGAUACAUAAUAGAGGUAUAUAUUUUCAGGGUACAUAUGAUAAUUUAAUACACUGAUAUCAUUUGUAAAGAUCAAAUCAGGGCAAUUGGGAUAGCCAUCACCUUAAAUAUUUGUCUUUUCUUUAUACUAGAAACAUCUAAAUUAUUUUAUUAUUUAUUUUUUAAUUUUUAAUAGAGACAGGGUCUCUUUAUGUUGCCCAGGCUGGUCUCGAACUCCUGAGCUCAAACGAUCUACUCACCUCAGCCUCCCAAAGUGCUGGGAUUACAGGUGUGAGUCAUCGCGCUUGGCCCGAAUGAUUCUCUUCUAGCUAUUUUGAAAUGUAUGAUAGAUUAUUGUAAAGUGUAGUGAAUACUGAUCCAUCAAGCACUAGGUCUUACUGAUUGCUGUUCCGAUUCUGGAAAAAGCCCCCACGUUCCUAGCCCACUUCCUAUGCACUCACUCCAGGGUGAAGGAUGUGAGGUCCUCUUCCCAGCACUUUCACCCAACGGCCUCCAUCACUACUGCACUAGCCCGCCCCACUCCUUGGAGUUUAACCAGGGCAGAAUGUUCUCAUGGCUCUAGACUUCUGAUGUCCUUGCUACUUCCUUCUAAGAGUCUUAUGUGGGUCUUAAUCUGGGGCCUCUGGGUGGAAAGAGGGAUUCAUGGAACCCCUGAGAUCAUAUGCAGAAGUUUCUGUGCUUUGGGAGAGGGGCUAUAGCUUACAUCAGAUAGUCAAAGAGGUCUGCAUUCCAAGGUUUCCGAGCCCCUGGGUGCCAAGCUACAGUGACCCGUCCUGUUUAAUGGUGUUCCUGGACAGAGCAAUGGACAGAGCACAGUGCUUAAGAGCAGGGACUUAGAAGCCAGACUGCCUGAUUUUGAACCCCGACUCUAUGUCUUAUUAGUCAGUGAUCUUGGACAGGUUUCUUAACCUCUCUGUGUCUCUGUUUCCUUAUCUGUAAAAGGGAUUGACAGUGUGUCUAUCCUCAUGGGAUUGUUGUGAAGAUUAAAUGAUUUAAUCCAUAUAAAGCUCUCCAUCCAGGCUAAAUGAUUACUUCUCCUCCCAUCGCCCUUGGAGGUUGGCAGGGCAGAGGUUAUCCUGACCACUUUUUCAAUGAGGAAGAACGACAGAAAUAAUAGCCCAGUUCCAGAGCUCUGCCUGCAAGUGCAGCAGGUCCUGCUGUUUCAUGAAAUCAUUGCAAAGAGGAAGUCUGCACACUGCUCUCAGAGGCAGGAGGAUUCCUUUUAGAGAGCUGGGGAAUAAACCAGAUCUAUCGACAGUUUCAGUCCUGGUUAAGUAGUGAGAACCAGUCAUCGGUCACAGGAUGCAAGAGGUGGCUUUAGGCGUGAGUCAGGAGCCACACACCUGAACUGGCCUGUUAGCAUCUUCACGGUGAACUUCUUGAAGUCCCUCUGUCUAAUCAGAUUUCCAGAGAAAUAGAGGAACUACUGCUUAUUGAGCACUAUGAACCGGGCAAGUGAAUGCAUAAUCUUACUUAAUCCAUUCAGUCACUAGGUGGAAGGAUUAUUAUCCCCAUUUUAUAUGUGCCAAAACUAAGACUCACAUAGCUGCUAAGUGGCAGAACUGAGAUUCAAACCCAGGUCUGCCUGACUCCAAGACUCAAGUGCCUGAUGGUCACAAUAGCAGCAGUCCUCAUUAGAAUCACCUGGAGCACUUGGUAAAUGCAGAUUGCUGUAUCCACUCCCAGAGUCCCUGAUUCCAUAGGUCUGGUGUGGGACCUGAGAAUUUGUAGUUCCAACAAGUUCCCAGGUGGUGCUGAUGCUGCUGGUCUGAGAACCCCACGAGGAGAACCACUGUGCUAAACCAAAGAGUGAUGAGGGGUUGUCAUCAGCUCACACCUGGCCCGGGGAGAGAAAGUGAGGGCUUCAUCUGCUGCUGUUCCAGUUGAGGCCUCAGGAACCGGAAAGUCUUUAAUGAAGCUAAUGCAUUGUGGACACUCACUCAACCUUCCUUGAAAAUGAUCACAGAUUCAGGGCAGGGCCUUUGCAUUUUAAGUGCCAAGCUCAUCUUCUUCACCACGCCCCAAGGUUGGCGCCUGGUGGCUUUACUCCUCACUUGUGUCUUUCCCACCUGCUCCCUUCAGCUGAGGCCCAACACCAUCAAUAUUGAGGAGGGAGGAGGGACAGGGGCGGGGGCGAGACAGUGAGGCUGAGGGGCAAGUCUCAAGGCAUGCGUGCGAUGACAGGCUGGAAGGCGCUGUGAUCUCACCCCCUCGCAGGCAUUCCUGUAACUGGGGAGCAGUGGGUGAGGGGUGCGGGGCUGCCUCCUACCAGGGUGUAGUCACACCUCCUAUCUGUCCUCUGGAAUUCAUUAGCUGCUGAGGUGAUGUUAACUGUUUUUCAUUUUCUGAGUCUUUGCUGAGACUCAAAAAGGGGAAAUGAGCCAUUACCAACCAGCAACACUUUUUCAAACAGAAACUGAAUUGACUGCAUUUUCUAAUAAUGUUGUGUGAAUUACGAAUGCAGAACUCUGGCCUUGUCUUUCAGAAGACAGAUGUCUGUGGCUUGCUUUCUGCUUAUAAAGCUCUGGGAGAAAGGAAUAGGACAGGUCAAAUGUCAAAGUGUGCUGGCCCUGGCCUGUUGUGAGGAUGUCGGGAAAUUUCCCUUUCCUUGCUUUCUGCUGCUCAAGAACCUCAGGCUCUGCCCUGUUGGAUAGAGCUCCAUUCUGCUCCCGCCAUGGUAACCCGAAGGUAAGCCAAGAGGCUCCAUGUUGGGGUGUGUGUGUGUGUGUUGUGGGAAGCAGGCCUGAGAAGCCUAGAUUUUUGGGCAGAGAACUACAAGAAGAGUAAUGUUGCCUGCCCCUGUCCCCAUCUCCAUCCUGGAAGGGUGCAGGUCCUCAGCUGGCAGCGGGAGAAAGGCAGCUGGUGAAAGGCAGCAGCCAGCGACUUCACCACUUUGAGUUGGGCCCCUUCUGGUGUAGAACCUGGAUCCCCUAACCUCCUUGGCUUGCCGCUAGCGUGUCAUUAUCCACGUUUUGCUCCAUGUAAAACCCUCUUCCAACAUCCCCUUCCUAUUCAGACACUGUUUGACAGUGCAGAGACUGGUCCAGAAAUGGGGUCGCUUGCCUCUGUGAGUCAAGCCUCUCCUGCUCCAGAAAGUAAGAUGAGAAUAGCUGCUCCCCGCUUGCUUCUUGGGGUCCUGGGAGGAUGCAGCAGUAGUAGAACAGCUUUUGGUACAUAUCAAAUCCUGCUGAACAGCUCAUCUCACCUAUGCCUGAGAUGGCGAUAAUGCAGAGGAGGAAUAGCGCAGGUGGGAGUACAGAAGUAGCAGGCUUGUGAGAGAGCUUUGUGAACUGCAAAAACCCUAUCAGAUAUUAGCUCUUGUUAUUAUCCUGCUCUUAGAUCCAUUUGCACCCCAUCCCACCUGCCCCACCGACCCUAAGAGAAUCAGAGCAAAUGCUUGUUAUUAGACAUGAGCACUGAAGGCUCCAAGGACUACUGCGGCCACCGUUUCUCCACAUGUGGAAAGAGUGAAGUGCUGGUACUGUGCUGUGUGACUUUAGGUGCUACCAAGCAGAGUAUUAAACACAGAACUGCAGCACGUCCAAGUUCUCCCCUUUUCAGUACGUUCAAUCCUGAUUACCCACAGGAGAAACUUGCAGUUUAGUGCUUGCAUUCUUCAACAC